CAACCGUGGAACUGCAUCGGAAACUGUCAUUCUUGAGUGCAGAAGAGGAGAGUGGAAUUCCAUGUGUAGCGGUGGAAUGCGUAGAUAUAUGGAAGAACACCAGUGGCGAAGGCGGCUCUCUGGUCUGCAACUGACGCUGAGGCUCGAAAGCAUGGGUAGCGAACAGGAUUAGAUACCCUGGUAGUCCAUGCCGUAAACGAUGAGCGCUAGGUGUUGGGGACUUUCCGGUCCUCAGUGCCGCAGCAAACGCAUUAAGCGCUCCGCCUGGGGAGUACGACCGCAAGGUUGAAACUCAAAGGAAUUGACGGGGGCCCGCACAAGCGGUGGAGCAUGUGGUUUAAUUCGAAGCAACGCGAAGAACCUUACCAGGUCUUGACAUCCUGUGCUACACCUAGAGAUAGGUGGUUCCCUUCGGGGACGCAGAGACAGGUGGUGCAUGGCUGUCGUCAGCUCGUGUCGUGAGAUGUUGGGUUAAGUCCCGCAACGAGCGCAACCCUUGUCUUUAGUUGCCAUCAUUAAGUUGGGCACUCUAAAGAGACUGCCGGUGACAAACCGGAGGAAGGUGGGGAUGACGUCAAGUCAUCAUGCCCCUUAUGACCUGGGCUACACACGUGCUACAAUGGGCAGUACAACGAGAAGCGAACCCGCGAGGGUAAGCGGAUCUCUUAAAGCUGUUCUCAGUUCGGACUGCAGGCUGCAACUCGCCUGCACGAAGCUGGAAUCGCUAGUAAUCGCGGAUCAGCACGCCGCGGUGAAUACGUUCCCGGGCCUUGUACACACCGCCCGUCACACCAUGGAAGUCUGCAAUGCCCAAAGUCGGUGGGAUAACCUUUAUAGGAGUCAGCCGCCUAAGGCAGGGCAGAUGACUGGGGUGAAGUCGUAACAAGGUAGCCGUAGGAGAACCUGCGGCUGGAUCACCUCCUUUCUAAGGAA
rnacentral:rRNA from 1 species